UGGGGAAUAUUGCACAAUGGGCGAAAGCCUGAUGCAGCAACGCCGCGUGAGUGAUGAAGGUCUUCGGAUUGUAAAGCUCUGUCUUUUGGGACGAUAAUGACGGUACCAAAGGAGGAAGCCACGGCUAACUACGUGCCAGCAGCCGCGGUAAUACGUAGGUGGCGAGCGUUGUCCGGAUUUACUGGGCGUAAAGGGUGCGUAGGCGGAUGUUUAAGUGAGAUGUGAAAUACCCAGGCUUAACUUGGGUGCUGCAUUUCAAACUGGAUAUCUAGAGUGCAGGAGAGGAGAAUGGAAUUCCUAGUGUAGCGGUGAAAUGCGUAGAGAUUAGGAAGAACACCAGUGGCGAAGGCGAUUCUCUGGACUGUAACUGACGCUGAGGCACGAAAGCGUGGGUAGCAAACAGGAUUAGAUACCCUGGUAGUCCACGCCGUAAACGAUGAGUACUAGGUGUAGGAGGUAUCGACCCCUUCUGUGCCGCAGUAAACACAUUAAGUACUCCGCCUGGGAAGUACGAUCGCAAGAUUAAAAC
rnacentral:rRNA from 1 species